ACCUUUAAUGGACCUUAUUCGCAAAUCUUCAAGUGGAAUGGGGAGAAUUUCACGAGGUACCAGAGUAUUGUGGCGGCGGGGUCCGACCUGGAGGCCUUUACUAUAGAUGGCGGGGUUUUCCUAGCGAUUACUGGCACGUGAUUGGGUGAGCAUUACCUCGCCAUAUAUGGGCAAAGAGAAGACGUACCUUGCCAUUAUCAGCAGUGGCCUCGAUCCCGUGAUCUACGCCUGGGACAAGUAUCACUCUAGAAAGUUCGCCAAGGUCCAGUCCAUCUCGUCCGCACGGACACGUGACAUGACGUUCUUCAUCAUGGGAGAGAGGGUCUACCUCGCGGUCGCCUCACACCGGAGCACUGGGAUCUACCAAGGCUCGUGAACACGUGACCUCGCGUGAAACCACCACGCAAUACAUGUGACAAGAUGUAACGCUAGCGGCGUAUUUGCUCUGUUAGAGCGAAGAUUGAUUGACAUGUAGCGUCAGAGGUUCAACUACCAAGGCUCGUGAUUGUGUGACGUGUAAGAAUUGAGUUACGCAGUGCGUCUGAUUAGAAUUAACGCUUUGUAUACUUGCUGCGUUUGAGCGGUUUUUUUUUUUCACCAGGACUUGGCGUUCUUUUUCAGACACCACUUUUUCUAAAUAUGGUGAUCACGUGAUACAUCACGCAACACAUCAGAUUAAAUAUCAGGAUGCAUACAAAAAUCCUCUUGUUUGUAUUAGUAAAUAUAUGUAACGGCUGUAAAUACCGUUUUGUAUCACCAA